rnacentral:rRNA from 1 species
AUACGUAGGGUGCGAGCGUUGUCCGGAAUUACUGGGCGUAAAGAGCUCGUAGGUGGUUUGUCGCGUCAUCUGUGAAAUUCCGGGGCUUAACUCCGGGCGUGCAGGCGAUACGGGCAUAACUUGAGUACUGUAGGGGAGACUGGAAUUCCUGGUGUAGCGGUGAAAUGCGCAGAUAUCAGGAGGAACACCGGUGGCGAAGGCGGGUCUCUGGGCAGUAACUGACGCUGAGGAGCGAAAGCAUGGGUAGCGAACUGGAUUAGAUACCCUGGUAGUCCAUGCCGUAAACGGUGGGCGCUAGGUGUAGGGGUCUUCCACGACUUCUGUGCCGUAGCUAACGCAUUAAGCGCCCCGCCUGGGGAGUACGGCCGCAAGGCUAAAACUCAAAGGAAUUGACGGGG